rnacentral:rRNA from 1 species
AUUGAACGCUGGCGGCAUGCCUUACACAUGCAAGUCGAACGGUAACGCGGGGGCAACCCUGGCGACGAGUGGCGAACGGGUGAGUAAUACAUCGGAACGUGUCCUGUUGUGGGGGAUAACCCAUCGAAAGGUGAGCUAAUACCGCAUGAUCUGGAGACAGCAAAGCAGGGGGACCGGAAACGGCCUUGCGCGAUUGGAGCGGCCGAUGUCCGAUUAGCUAGUUGGCGGGGUAAAGGCCCACCAAGGCAACGAUCGGUAGGGGGUCUGAGAGGAUGAUCCCCCACAC